rnacentral:lncRNA from 1 species
GAGUAGUCCAAGCUUAGGUCUGACUUAGAAUCCUCCUGCCUUCACCUUCCUAGAACGGCAUUACAGGUGUGUGCCGCCAUGUGGAGCAGUUUUAACUUCUUAUAGGACGUGUCAGGUAUCUGGAGAAGCAGAGGAACAUGGUGAACGUGUAUCUGUGUGGCCAUCCUCAGCGGUUUUCAGCACAGUGGCUAUCCAGUGACAUCUGACUGUCCGUGCCCUUUCCUCUUGACCAUGAGCUGCUUAUUCUGAAGCCAAUUCCAAAUACUGUAUUUGUUUUGCCUAUAAAUAUUUUAGUAUUAAAACUAGUUUAAGUCAUGGGAAGAGGGUUGUUGACUUGUGGAAAUGGUACUUCCAUCUUCCUCUGGCCUUUCUAUGAUGUUCCUGAGAGCAUUCAUCUCAGCUAUAAUUGGAUCGUCUAUUAUUUAAAAAAAAAAAAAAAUUGAAGCCCUUAAGCAGAAAGGCCAAAGACUUUGAGGCCGCCUGCACUGGGGGCUUAUUUCUAUAUAACACUCAUGAGAGGUGUAUAUUCAUUUGUCUUCUUGCCAAGGACCAGCCUCACCAUGGAGAAGGGUUCUGAGAAAUGAGGUUUCUGGGAGCAGUGAAAACAAAUGACUCCAAGUCAAAUCGUGGAUCCCGACUGAUGACCUGUGUUCUGCUUGAUCCAGCUUUUCUCGUCUGCUGCUCUCUAUGUUCUGCCUUCUCUGUGGCGAUCUCUCUAUAUUCUGCUUGCUUGCUAUUCCAAGAGAUCUCUCUGUCCAUGUCCGGCUUCUUUGUGUGGGUGUGUCUGCUGUGUCUCUGUCUCUGUUUCUGUCAGUUCUCCAAGCAGUUCUCUCUUUUUUGUCUUAAAAAAUUCUCUGGAUAGCUCAUCUCUUGCAGAAUACAGGUCCAUUCUUUUAUUUUACAUAUCAAUCCAGUCACUUACUCCAGGUUUUCAUUUUGAUUACCCUAUGAAUCAGCUUACGAGACGGCAAGCCUACAUUUUUUCUUAACAUUGCAAAAGAACUCAGAAAUCUGCCUGCCUUUGUUAAGCACAGAUUAUAAAAUACUUGUGUGGGACCCUGAAAUUACCAUUUUUACCACAUCUGGGCCUAACCUUGCUUAGACUGACCUUGAACCCCAGAAUCUGCCUGUCUUUGUGUCUUUCUGACAAGCUGACUCAUAGUGUAGCCACCUUUGUUCCUUUAGAUUCAUGAAGCCCCUAGUAAUUCUCAUUGCAUCCUUAUAUUUUACAUAGUUGAGAAAUUAUAUAUAUUUUUAACUCAUGUACUUAGAGCUCUUUCCCAUAACCUUAAGGGCUGUCCUGAAGGUCCCAACAUUGACCAUUUUGUGCAGACAUAGCCAUAUUCUCGAUUCCUGGACUCGUCUUCUUUCAAAUUCUCAUGAAGUCAUUAUCAUAACAGGAAGGACAUUGAAAUGUGUACAUUAUUACACAAACAAGCUUUAUCCCCACAGCAGCAUCGACACUCAUGGAAGCUUACACUGGGGCCCUGUCCCAGGGGCAGGGACUAUGUCACUCUACCCCCACCAGGGACACACCAGACUCAGCAUCUCCUGGAGGCUCACACCGGGGCCCUAUCCCAGGGGCUAGGACCAUGUCACUCUGUUCCCACCAGUCCACGCCUUUAGUUAUGAGAAGUCUUAUGUUGUGUUGUUUUGAUUUUCCAGAAACAUUUUCUUACCAUUACUCUCAUUGUACAAAUGUUUCUUCAGAAGCAUCCCAGGUGUUUGCCUGAGCCAGGUUGAUUGUCCUGGGGAAACACCUUCCUUGGUUGUCAGCGUUUGCGUGGUUGGUAUCGGGUGACUAUUCUUCCCUUCCUGUCCUAGUUUAUAUCAUUCCUGGCAUAUGUGUCACUACAGAGAACCACACCCAUGGGUAGCUUUUCCUUCAUCCCAUGUUUGAAAAGCACCCAUGUUGGAAUGUUCUAUCACAAAAUAAUGUAGCAGUGUAGUCUGAGCUGUGUGCUGGUUUAUGGAAUAUGUAGUGCUCUUUGGUCCCUAUAGGAAAAGGCUUGAGUAAAGCUUUGUCCUUGCUGUGCAGCGGAGCCUCAUCCAGAGGCAAACUGCAUCAAAGAACUUGACUGUGUGAGUAGAAAUGCUGUCACAGUGGGUAGCAAAGGGACAUUUAGUUUAAAAAAACAAAAAACCAAAAACUUUAUUCUUUUGAGACAAGGUUUCUCCAUGUAGCCUUGACUGUCUUUGAACUCACUGUGUAGAACUGUCUUAGAACUCACAGAUAUCCACCUGCCUCUACCUCCGGAAUGCUAGGAUUAAAAGUGUAUACCACCACCACCCUG